rnacentral:rRNA from 1 species
CGUAGGUAACCUGCCUGGUAGCGGGGGGUAACUAUUGGAAACGAUAGCUAAUACCGCAUAAGAGUAGAUGUUGCAUGACAUUUACUUAAAAGGUGCAAUUGCAUCACUACCAGAUGGACCUGCGUUGUAUUAGCUAGUUGGUGAGGUAACGGCUCACCAAGGCAACGAUACAUAGCCGACCUGAGAGGGUGAUCGGCCACACUGGGACUGAGACACGGCCCAG